rnacentral:rRNA from 1 species
UGGGGAAUAUUGGACAAUGGGCGAAAGCCUGAUCCAGCCAUGCCGCGUGUGUGAAGAAGGUCUUCGGAUUGUAAAGCACUUUAAGUUGGGAGGAAGGGCAGUAAGCGAAUACCUUGCUGUUUUGACGUUACCGACAGAAUAAGCACCGGCUAACUCUGUGCCAGCAGCCGCGGUAAUACAGAGGGUGCAAGCGUUAAUCGGAAUUACUGGGCGUAAAGCGCGCGUAGGUGGUUCGUUAAGUUGAAUGUGAAAGCCCCGGGCUCAACCUGGGAAGUGCAUCCAAAACUGGCAAGCUAGAGUAGGGCAGAGGGUGGUGGAAUUUCCUGUGUAGCGGUGAAAUGCGUAGAUAUAGGAAGGAACACCAGUGGCGAAGGCGACCACCUGGGCUCAUACUGACACUGAGGUGCGAAAGCGUGGGGAGCAAACAGG